AUAUCCGCGCCCCCCCUCCCUCGCCUCCCCCAUCUCUAAAAUUUUUAGAAUUUUCGCGCCCUAGCAAACCCUAAUGUUUCCCCACCCCACACCCCCAAUCUUACCCUCUCAAAUUUUCAGAAUAUCCGCUCCCCCCCUCUCUCACGCCGCCCCAUCUUUCCCUCUCAAAUUUUCAGAAUUUUCGCGCCCUCCCCCCACCUCCUCCGCCCUCUCCGCCGCCCCGCCCCAUCCCUUCCUCUCGAGCUUUCUCUCUCCUCUAGCUCUCGCCAAAUCAUCUCCUCAUCAGAUCACUGACCAAGAGAUCAGAGAGAAGAUGCCGACGUCGAAAGUGGGAUGUGGGGAUGGAGGUGUAAGUCGUCGGUGAUCAAGAAGGAGAACUGUGUGCUUCGAUGUCUAUCGCCUACUUGCUAUUCUCUCGUCUACGAGAGUGAUCCUGUAAUUUUUUUUACUGUUUUUCCCCCUAGGGUUUAUUUGAUUGAUUU